rnacentral:rRNA from 1 species
AUUGAACGCUGGCGGUAUGCUUAACACAUGCAAGUCGAACGGUAACAGGCCUUCGGGCGCUGACGAGUGGCGGACGGGUGAGUAACGCGUAGGAAUCUGCCUCAUAGUGGGGGACAACGUGGGGAAACUCACGCUAAUACCGCAUACACCCUACGGGGGAAAGCGGGGGAUCGUAAGACCUCGCGCUAUGAGAUGAGCCUGCGUUAGAUUAGCUAGUUGGUAGGGUAAAGGCCUACCAAGGCGACGAUCUAUAGCUGGUCUGAGAGGACGAUCAGCCGCACUGGGACUGAGACACGGCCCAGACUCCUACGGGAGGAAGCAGUGGGGAAUAUUGGACAAUGGGCGCAAGCCUGAUCCAGCAAUACCGCGUGUGUGAAGAAGGCCCUAGGGUUGUAAAGCACUUUCAAUAGGGAGGAAAACCUGCCGGUCGAUACCCGGUAGCUUGACAUUACCUAUAGAAGAAGCACCGGCUAACUCCGUGCCAGCCGCCGCCGUAAGAC